GCCCAGGUGUGGUGGCUCAUGCCUGUAAUCCCAUCGCUUUGGGAGGCUGAGGUGGGAAGAUCACUUGAGGCCAGGAGUUCAGGAUCAGCCUGGGCAACAGAGUGAGACUCUAUUAAAAAAAAAAUUAUAUAGAUAAAAAAUGUUUUUAGUUUUUGUUUGUUUGUUUGUACAGAUGGGGGCUCCUUAUGUUGCCCAGGCUGAUCCUGAACUCCUGGCCUCAAGUGAUCUUCCCACCUCAG
rfam:Macaca mulatta chromosome 1, whole genome shotgun sequence.